rnacentral:rRNA from 1 species
UUACGGGAGGCAGCAGUAGGGAAUUUUCGGCAAUGGGCGAAAGCCUGACCGAGCAACGCCGCGUGAGGGAAGAAGGUCUUCGGAUCGUAAACCUUUGUCUUUGGGGACGAUAAUGACGGUACCCAAGGAGGAAGCCACGGCUAACUACGUGCCAGCAGCCGCGGUAAUACGUAGGUGGCAAGCGUUGUCCGGAAUUACUGGGCGUAAAGGGCGUGUAGGCGGCGAUUUAAGUCAGACGUGAAAGCCCAGGGCUUAACCUUGGGACUGCGUUUGAAACUGGAUGGCUAGAGGAUCGGAGAGGGCAGUGGAAUUCCCAGUGUAGCGGUGAAAUGCGUAGAUAUUGGGAGGAACACCAGUGGCGAAGGCGACUGCCUGGACGACACCUGACGCUGAGGCGCGAAAGCUAGGGGAGCAAACGGGAUUAGAUACCCCGGUAGA